UUCAUUAAGGGUCUUGAUUAAUACCUUCUUAUGUUCAGUGGAGUUCAUUAACAAAGAUAACAAGGAGACUUGUUCAGGAUAUUUUCGAAGUUGGUCGAUCACCUCAUAAUCUGCCAUUUUCAUCUUUUAAAGGAAGGCCUUUGCUUCUUCAGCACUCACAUGCUUCUUAGAUAGGAAGCGCUUUCUAGUGGCAUUAUUCACCUCUUCCAAAUUGAAAUACUCUUCAGCCAAGUUAUUUUCUUGAACUUCCCCUAAGAUUUCUUUUCCUUUGUAUGUCACCAUUGACUUGCUAUAAUUCCAGGGCACAGCGACAGGAUCCGUCAUGGGCCUUUGUGGCGUGCGGCCAAUAAC
rnacentral:lncRNA from 1 species